GACGAACGCUGGCGGCGUGCUUAACACAUGCAAGUCGAACGCUGAAGCUCAGCUUGCUGGGUGGAUGAGUGGCGAACGGGUGAGUAACACGUGAGUAACCUGCCCUCUUCUUUGGGAUAACGCCCGGAAACGGGUGCUAAUACUGGAUAUUCACUGAUUCUCGCAUGGGGGUUGGUGGAAAGGUUUUUUCUGGUGGGGGAUGGGCUCGCGGCCUAUCAGCUUGUUGGUGGGGUGAUGGCCUACCAAGGCUUUGACGGGUAGCCGGCCUGAGAGGGUGACCGGUCACAUUGGGACUGAGAUACGGCCCAGACUCCUACGGGAGGCAGCAGUGGGGAAUAUUGCACAAUGGGCGAAAGCCUGAUGCAGCGACGCCGUGUGGGGGAUGGAGGCCUUCGGGUUGUAAACCUCUUUCGCUCAUGGUCAAGCCGCAGCUUUGGGUUGUGGUGAGGGUAGUGGGUAAAGAAGCGCCGGCUAACUACGUG
rnacentral:rRNA from 1 species